UACGGAGGGGGCUAGCGUUGUUCGGAAUUACUGGGCGUAAAGCGCGCGUAGGCGGCUGUCUAAGUCGGGUGUGAAAGCCCCGGGCUCAACCUGGGAACUGCAUUCGAUACUGGACGGCUAGAGUAUGAGAGAGGGAGGUAGAAUUCCACGUGUAGCGGUGAAAUGCGUAGAUAUGUGGAGGAAUACCGGUGGCGAAGGCGGCCUCCUGGUUCAAUACUGACGCUGAGGUGCGAAAGCGUGGGGAGCAAACAGG
rnacentral:rRNA from 1 species